GUGGGGAAUCUUGCGCAAUGGGCGAAAGCCUGACGCAGCCAUGCCGCGUGAAUGAUGAAGGUCUUAGGAUUGUAAAAUUCUUUCACCGGGGACGAUAAUGACGGUACCCGGAGAAGAAGCUCCGGCUAACUUCGUGCCGGCAGCCGCGGUAAUACGAAGGGGGCUAGCGUUGCUCGGAAUUACUGGGCGUAAAGGGCGCGUAGGCGGACAGCUUAGUCAGAGGUGAAAGCGCAGGGCUCAACCUUGGAAUUGCCUUUGAUACUUGCUGUCUUGAGUUUGGGAGAGGUGAGUGGAACUCCGAGUGUAGAGGUGAGAUUCGUAGAUAUUCGGAAGAACACCAGUGGCGAAGGCGACUCACUGGCCCAAUACUGACGCUGAGGCGCGAAAGCGUGGGGAGCAAACAGGAUUAGAUACCCGAGUAGUCC
rnacentral:rRNA from 1 species